rnacentral:snoRNA from 1 species
UGUCGGGUUGAUAACUAGGCGGCGGUUUCAAGCAUUGCACCCCACGACCUUUGCCCUUUAAGUGCCCGAAAGAUUGACUCUUCUCUGCGACUGAUUCUUACACAUUUGCUCGCUCAUUUCAUCCGUGUUUGUUUAAUGUUUAUUUGGUCGCAACAUCU